rnacentral:rRNA from 1 species
AUUGAACGCUGGCGGCAGGCCUAACACAUGCAAGUCGAGCGGAUGAAGGGAGCUUGCUCCUGGAUUCAGCGGCGGACGGGUGAGUAAUGCCUAGGAAUCUGCCUGGUAGUGGGGGAUAACGUCCGGAAACGGGCGCUAAUACCGCAUACGUCCUGAGGGAGAAAGUGGGGGAUCUUCGGACCUCCCGCUAUCAGAUGAGCCUAGGUCGGAUUAGCUAGUUGGUGGGGUAAAGGCCUACCAAGGCGACGAUCCGUAACUGGUCUGAGAGGAUGAUCAGUCACACUGGAACUGAGACACGGUCCAGACUCCGACGGGAGGCAGCAGUGGGGAAUAUUGGACAAUGGGCGAAAGCCUGAUCCAGCCAUGCCGCGUGUGUGAAGAAGGUCUUCGGAUUGUAAAGCACUUUAAGUUGGGAGGAAGGGAAGUAAGUUAAUACCUUGCUGUUUUGACGGUACCAACAGAAUAAGCACCGGCUAACUUCGUG